GAAAUGCGAUAAGUAAUGUGAAUUGUAGAAUUCAGAGAAUCAUCGAAUCUUUGAACGCACCUUGCGCUCCUUGGUAUUCCUUGGAGCAUGCCUGUUUGAGUAUCAUGAAAUCUUCAAAGUAAAUCUUUUGUUAACUCAAUUGGUUUCUACUUUGGUAUUGGAGGUCUUUGCAGCUUCACACCUGCUCCUCUUUGUUCAUUAGCUGGAUCUCAGUGUUAUGCUUGGUUCCACUCGGCGUGAUAAGUUAUCUAUCGCUGAGGACACUGUAAAAGGUGGCCAAGGUAAAUGCAGAUGAACCGCUUCUAAUAGUCCAUUGACUUGGACAAUACUUUUAUGAUCUGAUCUCAAAUCAGGUAGGACUACCCGCUGAACUUAAGC
rnacentral:misc_RNA from 1 species